GGAGGAGCCUUAGGCGCUCCACGUGAGACGAGCCACCCGUGGAAAGGACGCCGCGGAGGAUGGAUUUUGUUCCCAAAGCUGGAUUCUUUGCCUUCGAAAGAGCACCGGCUUACGUUGAAGCAGAACCUGGGUCACUGGAAGUUCAACAUCUCUCUUCUGCCCAUCUGCCAGUUCAAGUCCCCAUAUGUUCACUGUUGAUGUUUUUUCUGGAUUAAUGGGUAUCACUGCAGAAGUAAACCCUUAAUUGUCUUUUUAUAA